CUAAUCUUUAGCCACUAUUUCCCCUUCCCUUUUUCUCUCCCUCUUUAUCUUCUUCACUUUAUCUUCUUCAUGCACACACAUCCUUCUCGCCGCCGUCAUUGCUCAGCCAUCUCCCUUCCUUAAUGAAAUGAAAACAACCACUCACCGUCGACUUUGCUGCCUUGUUACCUAGUGGCUGGGUAGAUGAAAUUUCUUCGCUCGAUGUUGAUGUCAUGAAAUCUCGGCCAACAUCUUUGUCCUCUUUGAUGUAUGAAUGUCGCUCUUGAGAUAUAACGAUUUGAACUUUUGAUUGUGUCGUAGAAUCUUCCAUGCAUUCCACCACUUGAAUGCAACGCCUUUGAUCCUGAUUGUGAACAAGGUUUGCGUCUUCUUCCUCAUCAUAUCGUCGAUAUGGCUGUUUGGCCACUUCUCCUGAGCUUCAACCCAUGUUUCACUUCAUAGGUGACCCCCUUCUCUCCCAAUGACUUUUUACCUGUCGGAGCGUGAAUGGCUCGGGCACCAGCUCGUUGAUCCGCUUCAUCACCUUCCUUUAUAGGCUUCAUUUUUUUUGUUGAUUGUAAAUGUGCACUUCUUGUCUCAUCACAAAUACAAAUAUGAAUAUGGGUGAAUCGAAAUCGAACUGAACCGAAGAAAAUCAUAUUAUUGAAUUCGGUUCGACAUUUUCAAAAUCAAAUCCUCUGCUUUAUAAACAAAAAAAUACUGUGAACUUACACCAAGAAAAACCAUCCCACCUAAAAAAGUCUAGCAAGUUUUAGACUAAAAUUACAAAUUUGGUUGAAUUUGAGGCUAGUGAGAAGAAUUAAGAAUGUGAAAAAGGACUAGAUUUGCUUGCGCUCUGCCUGGAGCGCCGUAACCAGAUUGUUGAAGCACUCAUCUGCAUCUCCAGGUACGCUUUUGGGCAUUAAAUUCUCGGCAACAUCUGCCGAGAAGUGUAUUUCCUGUUGAUGGCAGCAGAAGUGGUGUUGUGCUAACCACGAGGUUGUUUGAGGUGGCUUCUUAUCUGGAUCCUUCGAACAGGCUUCAUGAGAUGAGCUUGUUAAAUGCAGAGCAGAGUUGGAAUUUGUUCAAGCAUAAGGUGUUUGCAGAUGAAGAAUGUCCUUCCUAUUUAGAAACUACUGGUAAGGAGAUUGCAAGAAGCUGCAAAGGAUUGCAACUUGCGAUUGUGGUGAUUGUGGGGCUUCUAUCUGAUCCACAGUCACUAGGAAUCCAUCUUCAUGGCAGGAGAUUGCAGAAAAGGUGAAAUCCAAAUCGAUGAAAUACUAUCUUUGAGCUACUUCGAAUUACCUCAAUAUUUGAGGCCAUGUUUCUUGUACAUGGCUUCAUUUCCAGAAGAUCAUCAGAUCCAUGCAAAGAAACUUAUAGAUUAUGGGUAGAUGAGGGCUUUGUGAAAAUUUCAAUAAACUCCAAGAGUUUUGAAGAGGUGGUGGAAGAGUGUUUAGAUGAACUCGUUUUCAGUGUUGGAAGUUCUUCUAAUUGAAGAUCGAAGGUUGGAGAAUUGGAUAACUGAAAGUAGCCAUUUCCCAAUACUCAAACGGCUGCUGCUUCGUUCUUGUCGUAAUCUCAAUGGGAUCACAAAUGAUAUUGGAGAAAUUCCAACUCUUGAACUCAUUGAGGUUACAUGCAAAGUGAAAAAGUCUCUAAUGGAGUCCGCUGAAUUGAUACAAGAGGAACAAGAAGUAUUGGAAAACAACAUCCUUCAAGUUGUCUGCAGUGCUGUUCUAAAGGAGUCACUUGAAUAAGAGAUUCAAGGAGAUCUAAAAGAGGAUUGGAAUGUGUAGUCAUAUUGAAGAGGUCCUCUAAAGCAAUGAAGUUUGGAACUUGUUUUGAUUUGUAGAAGUUUGUUUCGCAUGUGAGUGGAUAAUGUUUUGAAGAGUGAUAACAUUGUGUGCUUUAUCAUGCGUAUAUGUCUAUGUUUUUAUGAAGAAUGUUGAUAUUUCAUAGUUAGUUUCUU